rnacentral:rRNA from 1 species
UACAGAGGUCUCAAGCGUUGUUCGGAUUCAUUGGGCGUAAAGGGUGCGUAGGCGGCGGGGCAAGUCUGUUGUGAAAUCCCGGGGCUCAACCUCGGAACUGCAUUGGAUACUGCCUUGCUUGAGUACUGGAGAGGAGACUGGAAUUUACGGUGUAGCAGUGAAAUGCGUAGAUAUCGUAAGGAAGACCAGUGGCGAAGGCGAGUCUCUGGACAGUUACUGACGCUGAGGCACGAAGGCCAGGGGAGCAAACGGG